rnacentral:rRNA from 1 species
UACGUAGGGGGCUAGCGUUGUUCGGAUUUAUUGGGCGUAAAGCGCGUGUAGGCGGUUUGUUAAGUCUGAUGUGAAAGCCCUGGGCUCAACCCAGGAAGUGCAUUGGAUACUGGCAGACUUGAAUACGGGAGAGGGUAGUGGAAUUCCUGGUGUAGGAGUGAAAUCCGUAGAUAUCAGGAGGAACACCGGUGGCGAAGGCGGCUACCUGGACCGAUAUUGACGCUGAGACGCGAAAGCGUGGGGAGCAAACAGG